GACGUAGGGCGCGAGCGUUGUCCGGAUUUAUUGGGCGUAAAGAGCUCGUAGGCGGUUUGUCGCGUCUGCUGUGAAAACCUAAGGCUCAACCUUGGGCUUGCAGUGGGUACGGGCAGACUAGAGUGCGGUAGGGGUGACUGGAAUUCCUGGUGUAGCGGUGGAAUGCGCAGAUAUCAGGAGGAACACCGAUGGCGAAGGCAGGUCACUGGGCCGCAACUGACGC
rnacentral:rRNA from 1 species